UCAGGAGCGGGAAACGAUGGGAGCUUGCUCCCAGGCGUCGAGCGGCGGACGGGUGAGUAACACUUAGGAAUCUACCUAGUAGUGGGGGAUAGCUCGGGGAAACUCGAAUUAAUACCGCAUACGACCUACGGGAGAAAGGGGGCAUUUUACUGCUCUCGCUAUUAGAUGAGCCUAAGUCGGAUUAGCUAGUUGGUGGGGUAAAGGCCUACCAGGGCGACAAUCUGUAGCUGGUCUGAGAGGAUGAUCAGCCACACCGGGACUGAAACACGGCCCGGACUCCUACGGGAGGCAGCAGUGGGGAAUAUUGGACAAUGGGGGCAACCCUGAUCCACCCAUGCCGCGUGUGUGAAGAAGGCCUUUUGGUUGUAAAGCACUUUAAGCAGUGAAAAAGACCUAACGGUUAAUACCCGUUAGCGAUGACAUUAGCUGCAAAAUAAGCACCGGCUAACUCUGUGCCAGCACCCGCGGUAAUACAGAGGGUGCAAGCGUUAAUCGGAAUUACUGGGCGUAAAGCGAGCGUAGGUGGCUUGAUAAGUCAAAUGUGAAAUCCCCGGGCUUAACCUGGGAACUGCAUCUGAUACUGUUAAGCUAGAGUAGGUGAGAGGGAGGUAGAAUUCCAGGUGUAGCGGUGAAAUGCGUAGAGAUCUGGAGGAAUACCGAUGGCGAAGGCAGCUUCCUGGCAUCAUACUGACACUGAGGUUCAAAAGCGUGGGUAGCAAACAGGAUUAGAUACCCUGGUAGUCCACGCCGUAAACGAUGUCUACUAUUCGUUGGGUCCCUUGAGGACUUAUUGACGCACUAACGCAUAUGUAUACCGCCUGGGGAGUACGGCCCCAGGUUAAUCUCAGUGAUUUAUGGGGGCCCGCCAAACGGUGGAGCAUGUGUUUUUUUCGAUGCAUCGCGAAAAUCUUACGGGGUUUGAAAUACAGAAAUCCUGGACAAAACAAAAAGGCCGUUCAGAAUUUUGAAACAGGUGCACAUGGUGG
rnacentral:rRNA from 1 species